rnacentral:rRNA from 1 species
UACCAGCACCCCGAGUGGUCGGGACGUUUAUUGGGCCUAAAGCAUCCGUAGCCGGUUCUACAAGUCUUCCGUUAAAUCCACCUGCUUAACAGAUGGGCUGCGGAAGAUACUAUGGAGCUAGGAGGCGGGAGAGGCAAGCGGUACUCGAUGGGUAGGGGUAAAAUCCGUUGAUCCAUUGAAGGCCACCAGUGGCGAAGGCGGCUUGCCAGAACGCGCUCGACGGUGAGGGAUGAAAGCUGGGGGAGCAAACCGG